rnacentral:rRNA from 1 species
CCUACGGGUGGCAGCAGUGAGGAAUAUUGGUCAAUGGGCGAGAGCCUGAACCAGCCAAGUCGCGUGAAGGAUGACGGCCCUACGGGUUGUAAACUUCUUUUGUCAGGGAGCAAUUGGGUCCACGCGUGGGCUUAGCGAGAGUACCUGAAGAAAAAGCAUCGGCUAACUCCGUGCCAGCAGCCGCGGUAAUACGGAGGAUGCGAGCGUUAUCCGGAUUUAUUGGGUUUAAAGGGUGCGCAGGCGGAAUGUCAAGUCAGCGGUAAAAUUUCGGGGCUCAACCCCGUCGUGCCGUUGAAACUGGCGUUCUUGAGUGAGCGAGAAGUAUGCGGAAUGCGUGGUGUAGCGGUGAAAUGCAUAGAUAUCACGCAGAACUCCGAUUGCGAAGGCAGCAUACCGGCGCUCAACUGACGCUCAUGCACGAAAGCGUGGGUAUCGAACAGGAUUAGAUACCCCAGUAGUC